rnacentral:sRNA from 1 species
UGAUUUCGGUGACUUCUUCCUUAGGUCC